UGCGUAGGCGGGCUAAUAAGUCAGUGGUGAAAUCUUUCGGCUCAACCGAGAAACUGCCAUUGAUACUGUUAGUCUUGAGUUCGGUUGAGGUAGGCGGAAUGUGUAAUGUAGCGGUGAAAUGCUUAGAUAUUACACAGAACACCAAUUGCGUAGGCAGCUUACUAGACCGACACUGACGCUGAGGCACGAAAGCGUGGGGAGCGAACAGGAUUAGAUACCCUGGUAGAC
rnacentral:rRNA from 1 species